rnacentral:rRNA from 1 species
UACGGGGGGUGCGAGCGUUGUCCGGAAUCACUGGGCGUAAAGGGUGCGUAGGUGGUGAGGUAAGUCGGAUGUGAAAGCUCCGAGCUCAACUCGGAAAUGGCAUUGGAAACUACCUUGCUCGAGGGUUUGAGGGGGGACUGGAAUACUUGGUGUAGCAGUGAAAUGCGUAGAUAUCAAGUAGAACACCAGUGGCGAAGGCGAGUCCCUGGAAAACUCCUGACACUGAGGCACGAAAGCUAGGGGAGCAAACAGG